rnacentral:rRNA from 1 species
UACGAGAGGCGCAAACGUUUAUUCGGAUUUACUGGGCUUAAAGAGUUCGUAGGCGGCGCAGAAAGUAGGGUGUGAAAGCCCUCGGCUCAACCGAGGAAUUGCGCUCUAAACUACUGUGCUUGAGGAAGCUAGAGGUGAGCGGAACUGAUGGUGGAGCGGUGAAAUGCGUUGAUAUCAUCAGGAACACCGGAGGCGAAGGCGGCUCACUGGGGCUUAUCUGACGCUGAGGAACGAAAGCCAGGGGGAGCGAACGGG